CUGCUGCCUCCCGUAGGAGUCUGGUCCGUGUCUCAGUACCAGUGUGGGGGACCUUCCUCUCAGAACCCCUACGCAUCGUCGCCUCGGUGGGCCGUUACCCCGCCGACUAGCUAAUGCGACGCAUGGCCAUCCUAUGCCGGAGUCGCCUCCUUUGACCCCCUGGAGAUGUCUCCAAAUGGUGUUAUGCGGUAUUAGACGGAAUUUCUUCCGCUUAUCCCCCCUGCAUAGGGCAGGUUCCAUACGUGUUACUCACCCGUGCG
rnacentral:rRNA from 1 species